UUUUGGCCUGACUGCCAUAACUGCUGUGACAGACAAGGCAGACUACCAUUAACAUCAGAUGAUCUGAUUA
rnacentral:tRNA from 2 species